rnacentral:rRNA from 1 species
AUGUGGCCUAUUUAUGAAAAACCUAGGCCAGAAGCUCCUGAUUAUGUUAAAGUUAGAAUGCCAGGCAGGCCCAAGAAGAAUGCUAGGAGGAGGGAAGACCAUGAGAAACCAGUUGGCAAAAAAAUGAGCAAACAUGGCACUGUUAUUGUUUGUUCAAUGUGUGGCACUGCAGGCCACAACAAAUCUGGUUGCAAGAAGAAUCCAGAGAAGGGCAAGAAAAAAAAUGCACAUCUUGUGAAGGCAGCCAAGAAAAGAAAAAGCACUGAGGUAAUUUUAGAUGAGUUUAUUACCUGUGAAUUAAUAUGGUUGCUUAUUAGUAAUUUACCUUGCCUUCAAAUAAUUUUAGAUGAGUUUAGUAGCUGUCAAUUAAUACAUGAAUGUACUGCAGGCUGGUCCUACACAAGCUGGAAGUGCACCUACUUCUCAACCAGCAGCAAGAUCAGCCCCAACUUGUGGAACUGCUGGAACAGCUUCAAAGUUUAA